rnacentral:lncRNA from 1 species
GUAAAUCAUCUUAUAACAAAAAUGGAGUGACGUAAAUCAUCUUUUAACAAAAAAUGGAGUGACAUUUGAUUGGUCCCUAGAAAUGUACGAAGGUGUAUUGAUUUUAAAUAUUUGCUACACCUCUUAAAAUUAAAAGAAAAACCAAGUGCAGAAAAAAGAACUCAAACUGAGGAAAUACUUUUUUGAAAACUCAACCUGAAUUGAAGAGCCUAUUGUUAAGAGUUGUAAAUUUCUCAGUUCUCAAAUAAAUAAAUAAAGAGAUGUAAAUUUCUUAAGAAAAAAAUUUGUUGUAAAAUUUAUAUCCUCUCCUUUUGUAGUGCGUGUAUUUCCUUCAAUGUUUUUUUUUGAAUAACCGUGAAUCUCCUAAUUUUUUUAUGGCUUUAGACCUGCAUUGUGUUUUUGACUCUUCUUUGUUUUUGCAAUAGUUGAUAUUAAUAUGUUCAUUGAUGAUUCCACAGAAAGCUCCGUCGAGCUCCAGCCGUCCCCGCCAACCUGAGAGGCCUUCCCCAGACCUUGACCACCGCCGACGUGAGAGGCCAUCGCCAGACCUUGAUCACCACCGCCGACCUGAGAGGCCAUCGCCAGACCUUGACCACCACCGCCGACCUGAGAGGCCAUCACCAGACCGUGAUUACCCCCGCCGAUCUGAGAGGUUGUCUCCAGACCGUCGAUCGCGUGACCCUGAACUUCCUCGCCCUUCUUCCAAGAAAAAGUAUGAAGAUUAUGACGAUCAUCACCAUGAGGACCGCCAUCAGCGCGAGCAUACCCAUCGCAGUAGCAGUAGCCAUCACCGUUCAGAAUCUUCAGCUAGCGCCAAACCAUCCUCCAUAGGCCCAUCUGAACCGCAAUCCAAAUCCGUUGAUAAGAGGAAGGCGAGUGUUUUUUCUCGUAUCAGUUUCCCAGCUGAAGAUUCAGCAGCAGCUUCAAAGAAGCGAAAGGUGCCAUCCUCGAGUGAAGUGCCAGUGAGUUCUUCGGCGAGCCACAGGGGUGGCACAACAAAUGGGUAUCAUGGAGAGUACAAAAGACCACCGCCGCCGACCUGAGAGGCCAUCGCCAGACCUUGACCACCACCGCCGACCUGAGAGGCCAUCACCAGACCGUGAUUACCCCCGCCGAUCUGAGAGGUUGUCUCCAGACCGUCGAUCGCGUGACCCUGAACUUCCUCGCCCUUCUUCCAAGAAAAAGUAUGAAGAUUAUGACGAUCAUCACCAUGAGGACCGCCAUCAGCGCGAGCAUACCCAUCGCAGUAGCAGUAGCCAUCACCGUUCAGAAUCUUCAGCUAGCGCCAAACCAUCCUCCAUAGGCCCAUCUGAACCGCAAUCCAAAUCCGUUGAUAAGAGGAAGGCGAGUGUUUUUUCUCGUAUCAGUUUCCCAGCUGAAGAUUCAGCAGCAGCUUCAAAGAAGCGAAAGGUGCCAUCCUCGAGUGAAGUGCCAGUGAGUUCUUCGGCGAGCCACAGGGGUGGCACAACAAAUGGGUAUCAUGGAGAGUACAAAACGACUACUGGAUCAAGGAAGAGUACCACUGCGAGUGUGGAUUAUGAGAGCAGUGAUGAUGAUCGGCACUUCAAAAGGAAGCCUUCAAGGUACGAACCAUCUCCUCCACCAGCUUUUGUAGGGUGGGAAGAAGAGGAGCGGGAGGGGCCUCCUCCUAGGCAUAGCAAGGGGUCAAGGGGAAGGGGGUAAUCUGCAUAUAAGUUAUAUUUGCAUUUUUCACUUUAAUAUGUCAAUUAUUUGCAUUUCACUUGUAGGACUAUACUGGGGUAUGUUGUUGUUAUUGACUUUCUAAUGUGUCAGUUGACCAUUUUCUUGGGUUCUUUCCAGCUAUUCUGUUUGUAGAUUUUGACGUAAUACUGUCUGCAAUAUUUAGAGUUGAACGUACGUACAUUGCAUUGAUUCUUUUUUUUGUUUCUCAUUUCUUUGUCGUGUCCUGUAAUAGAGUUGAUUGUUCAUUUGUGCAUUAUGUAUUAGUUUUACUGUCUUGGCAAAAAAAUGUGUUACUGGCUUAACUGUCUUAAAUGUAGCUUUACUUAUCUAGGUUUGUUUAUCUAAGGAACACAGCAAAAUAGCCCAUAACAAAAGCAAAGGCGUUUACUUGUGAGAAUCUGGAGAUAAAUAGUGUGCACGUCGAUGACAUGUUUUACCUCUACUGAUUUCAUUUGUAAUUCACAUGCAAAGAAAGAUUUUGAUUUUUUAAUUGGCAUGGCACUAUAAGACAGCUGUAAUUCCAUGUCAAUGUUGUCAAUGUUGCUAGCUGUCUCAUGAUUAGAUCUUGUCCAAUUGCUCUGAGCUCGUUUUAUGCUUAGAUAAAUGGUAAGUUUUAACCUUAAUAUUCCUUAUAAUUGUCACUUAACCGAUACAUUGUGGCACCUUGGUCUUGUCCAGCAUCAAGAAAGAAAAAUUGAUUUAUAUUGAGAUGGUGCUUUAAUUGUCCGUGUACACAAGAUAGAUCUCUCUUUCAUGUAAACCUGUGAGCAAUUACACAUGACUUGACUGAUAUGUGGGGCACGAGUAAAGCAGAGUAUGUGCCCCAUUUUUAGCUUCUUCUGGUGGUGUGUUAGUGAUGGUUUAGGGGCUUAUAGUUAAUAUGAGUCUCGUUUGUCAUGCUGACAAAAAAGGAUCUGGUUAGUUGUGAACAUUGUUGGCUUAUACUCUUUGGCAUCCUGUCUUAUGAUAUUUAUUAUAAUAUAGUUCUUUAGCUGGCAGAAUUCUGAAUGUCAAAAGAAUUCACGGGAAGGAAGAGAAAAAAGAGAAUAAGAUAGACGCCACUACUUUGUUUUGUACAUACAACUUAUGUAGAGGAGCCUGCACAGAUUCACUUGCAUGCCUUUUAAUUUGACAGUUGUAUGCUAAUAGUCAAAACUUUGUCACUAAGUAUUGUGAGAAUAUCACUUUGAAGCUUUGAUGGGAACCAUCUCAAAGUGUAUGUUGCUAUGUCAUUUUUGUUUUAGAUGCCAGUGAAGUUCUCUUUUGGUGCUUGUGUGUUUAGCCUCUUCAUUAUUGAGUACAGAUAUCCUUCUAGCAUUCCUGUCGUAGCUUCAUAAUGUCCAUGCGGUCCUUUUUCUACAUAUGCUUAACUCGUUGGUUCUCGAUGCAGAUUGAGAUAGUAUAUGAUGAGGGAGAGACUGGAUCAAAAAGAAUCUUGCAUGGAUAUAAAUACAGGUAGAGAAUAGUUCUUGUUCGACAUUUUUCACAUAUUUUGCCUCUCAGACAAUACUAGUAUUUUCACUUACAUGCACUGUCUAAUACCUUUUCUGUUUCACCUCGUUUCAUUUGAAUUGACAUUUUGUUUAAUUGGGGUGCAGCGCGGGCAUCUUUGAAACAUUCAAAUCUGGAUCGACUUUCCUGAGUGAUACCAUCUACUUCACAAAGUUCUCAGUGCAACGUUAUGAGUUUUUUAGUUUGAUCCUUGAGAGAUGGGAACAGCACAAAUUUGCUCAUCCAAGGAUCGUCAAAACAUGAACGUUCUAGUGAAUUGUUGUAGAUUCUAUCUAAGAAUUGUAUUAUCUUAUGAAUGCUACAUAGUUGUUUUAGUUAAUUGCAAACAACACCGAAAUUUCAAAAAUAAGAUCGCGCGUUCUCCAUUUUUAUGGCAAUUUUCAUUAUUAUGUGGCAUUGCAGUUUUCAUAUAUUUUAUCAUUGUGGGUUAUCUCCUAUUGGUUUAGACUGUAUUUUCACUGCAAUCUUAUAACUUGCCUUGAUGUGUAGUUGUAGUUGGAAGUGAUCUAACAAAGUGAAAGAGGUUGUUUGGCUAUCACUACAAGAAUAGUGCUAAAAUAUUCUCUCUCCGUUACUUUUUAUAUGUCAUCCUUACUAAAUAUAGUGGGUCUAUAAUACUUAUCGUUUCAUAAAAUCAAUGCAUAAAUUACAAUAUUCUCCCUAUUAUACCCUUGAUAGUUAAUUAGUUUUGAAAAUAGAUAUUUGAUCAAUCUAGGAAAACUAAUAAGUAAUUAAUGUUCAUUGUAAUUACUUUAUACAUUGAUUAAUUAUUCUCACAUUGCAUUACUCUAUAAAAUGUGAUUUUGAAAAAGAUUUUCAACAAACAAAUUAAAAAUAAAAGAUGGAUUUAUAUCAUUUAUUGAAAAGUUAUCUAAAAAAAUAUUAAAUAAGGGUAGAAUUAUAAACUUAGUUUCCUGAGAUUAUUGUAUCACAUAAUUUUAAAAAGAAAAUUACUUGCUUGCAUAGAUGUUCUCCUCAAACACAUAAUUGUGUUUUUAAUUAUAUUAAUGCAUUUAUUAAAAUCUCGCACAUUGUUAAUAUUAUGUUUUUAUGUUUUGUAAUGUAAUAAAAUUUUAAAAUAACAAACAAUAUAAAACAACUACAACAAUAAUAUGCCUUGUGAAACUUUACCAAGUGGAAUUUGGGAAGGGUAAGGUACAUGUGGACUUUAUCAUCAUCUCGGGAAAGAAAGAAGAUUGUUUUUAAAAGACCUUGACUCAAGUAUAGCGCCUAAAAAAAAAAACAAUGCCGACAAUAAAAUAAUGUGAUAAUUAAAUUACAGUACACAAUAUAAUAAUAAUUUAAAACUAACGAUUUUUAAAAAAUUACAACAUAGUAUAAGAGUAAGAAGUAACAGAAAAUAGUAACAUCAUAUUUUCAUUUAUUGCAAUUAAGACUCAAAUAUUAUUAUUGAAAGUCACAACUUAUCAAAUUUUAUAAUUAUUACAAAGACAGAGCUGUUUCACUUAAAAUAGGUGGGGUCCACUGACCGCUAUUUAUUUAUUGGUAUAAUUAAAGAGGUUCAUAAUUGACACCUCAACAUUUAAUUUUUAAUUUUCAGAACUUUUACUUCGAAAUUAAAAGUGGGUGCAGAAACCAAAUUAAGAAACAAUAAAUCAUACGGACAAAGUCAUAAUUUCAUUAGUGUUACUUAAACGGAAUUAUUAUUAUUUUUAAAAAAAAAUAUUAAAAAAAAAACAGAAUAAAUGGAUAAUUAAUGGUAUCUGAAACAAGUCACCCCAAGAUCCAUUGCUUAAAAAAAUAGUACUAUUUUAUAAUGUCAGAUAAUUCAUUUAUGUCACUGUCACCUGCUUAAAAUUUCUUGCAUUACAACUAUGAUGGAAGUUUGGAUAGUUCAGAGUGAAUAUGAAAAUUUCGAUUUUAAUCGGGAAGCAAUUUCUUUUUAAAUUGGGCUUUACAUAAUAUCAAUCUACAUGAGGAGAAUUAACCUAAAUAGCCAUAAGCUAAUCAGUCAAACUAAAAAUAGUUAUGUCUGAUAUGUAUACAAUCAGUGUAUAUAAUAUAUAUAAUAUAUAUAAUCUAUUUAUAUAGAUUUGAAAAGGUAGACAGUAUCCCUGAAUCGACUAUUUGUAUAAAAAUUCCUAAUACAAAUUAAUCGAGGCUCUAAAAUAAGUAUCUGACAUAAGCGGUCUCACAAUUAUCUCCAAUUGAAUGUACUAAUUACUAUAGGCAUUGCAAUUGAAUUAAAGUUAGGUGCUAAUGACUAAACGAGGGCAAUUAAACAACAAUUAGGUCAACAUUGAAUUGCUCAUAUAUAAUUGCUUAAUACCAAACUAACUCAAAUUCAUGUAUAUCUUGCCAUGAUGACCUUUACCUAAAAUUAUAUUGCAUAGGAAAUUAUAGUAAAUUCAGAUUUAAUUACUACCAAAUUUAUUGACUAGUUGUAUUGUGAGUUUUUUUUUUGUUGAUAUUUCUUCAAUUGGGAAUUUGAAAUUAUGACUUCAAAUUGCAUGUUUAAAUAUUACUUUGAAUUUAAUAUGUUAAGUGUCACAACCCUCUAUGAUACUUGGACAAAUUGAAUAAUAUUUUUGUUAUAAAAAAAUAGAUCAAUGGCUUCUAUGAUAAUUUAUGUACAUGUUGGUUGUUCACUUCAAUCUUUUUAACAUUUCACAAUAAAAUUAAGGAAAUUCCAGGAUCCUAUAAGUUAUUAAGUAGGCGCGGAGGUAGAAGUUUGUACAUUAGUUCACAAGAAUUCAGUAAUUUUUAUGCAUAUUGUGAACACAAUUAUUAUUAUAAUAUUAACUUGAGGUCGACAUAGAAAUUCAUCAACUUCAACCCUUCCAUUAUAACUCAUUUAUAUCCUUUAUGAUACAAUAAUGUACAUGCAUUUUCAUCAUACUUCAUGUAAAAAUCUUUUUAAUUAAAAUUUAUUGGCUAAGGAAGUUCUUCUAUUUGUUUUUCCUACUAAAUCAAUUAAGUUUAGAGGUAAUUUACAAUACAACUCCAAAAAUAAUUAUAAUAUUGUGCGAAGAUAACUUCUUCUUUUUUCGAUUUCUGAUGUCAAAUAUCUACAUUGAAAUCUGAUUAAUAAGAAUUCACACAUUACAAUAGUCCAUUUCUAAUCACUCAUAACAAGAUAUUUUCUAUACUCACAAACUAGAAAACUCUUCAAUACAAUUCCAUUUUUCCAUGAUAAUCGUUUUAUUAAUCAAACUUCAAACUAAUAGUAAAUGCUAGUACAUGCAUAGUUGACUUUCUUGUUUUCUUGAGUAGUUAAUAGGAAUUAGAUAAAUUUUUUUUAAAAUAACACGAAAUUGAUUACGAUAAAAUCCAUAGGCAGAUGAUAGAUCUGCAUUCAUGAUUCUAACAGUUGAGUGUUAAAUAAAAUUAUAUAUUUUUAAGAAAAAUAAUAAUAAUAUUGCGUCAAUGUGACACGAUCUUGGUGUUGUUUAGUAUGAAGAAAUUCAUUUUUUAAGAAAUAUUAUUCACCAUGAUACAAAAAAUAAUUAAUUUUAUGGCAUUUUUUUAAUCAUACGUCUCUUUAUGAAUUAUUGACCGCUGUAUCAUGUCAUUACUCAUAUAUUAUGUUAAGACUUAUAUGGUCACUUCAAUAUUUCGAGGAAAGUAUACUUUUAAAAACAAUUCAAAUAUAACAUAUAUAUUUCUUACAUAUCUAUAAAGGACUAAUAACAUAGUACAAUUUAAUUAAGAAAAUCAAGAAUAAUUAAUCCAAUUAGCAAUCAAGAAUAUAUAUAUAUAUAUAUAUAUAUUAAAAUUGAACAACUUCACAUUUAUGAAUAUAGUAAAAAUGUGUUUUCUUCUAUUUAUGAAUGUAUUUAUUUUAAAGAAAAAUUACCUAAAUACACAUCUUAUUUUAUCUUAAUCUCUAAAAUUCUCUACCAUUUAAUUUCCCCCNNNNNNNNNNNNNNNNNNNNNNNNNNNNNNNNNNNNNNNNNNNNNNNNNNNNNNNNNNNNNNNNNNNNNNNNNNNNNNNNNNNNNNNNNNNNNNNNNNNNNNNNNNNNNNNNNNNNNNNNNNNNNNNNNNNNNNNNNNNNNNNNNNNNNNNNNNNNNNNNNNNNNNNNNNNNNNNNNNNNNNNNNNNNNNNNNNNNNNNNNNNNNNNNNNNNNNNNNNNNNNNNNNNNNNNNNNNNNNNNNNNNNNNNNNNNNNNNNNNNNNNNNNNNNNNNNNNNNNNNNNNNNNNNNNNNNNNNNNNNNNNNNNNNNNNNNNNNNNNNNNNNNNNNNNNNNNNNNNNNNNNNNNNNNNNNNNNNNNNNNNNNNNNNNNNNNNNNNNNNNNNNNNNNNNNNNNNNNNNNNNNNNNNNNNNNNNNNNNNNNNNNNNNNNNNNNNNNNNNNNNNNNNNNNNNNNNNNNNNNNNNNNNNNNNNNNNNNNNNNNNNNNNNNNNNNNNNNNNNNNNNNNNNNNNNNNNNNNNNNNNNNNNNNNNNNNNNNNNNNNNNNNNNNNNNNNNNNNNNNNNNNNNNNNNNNNNNNNNNNNNNNNNNNNNNNNNNNNNNNNNNNNNNNNNNNNNNNNNNNNNNNNNNNNNNNNNNNNNNNNNNNNNNNNNNNNNNNNNNNNNNNNNNNNNNNNNNNNNNNNNNNNNNNNNNNNNNNNNNNNNNNNNNNNNNNNNNNNNNNNNNNNNNNNNNNNNNNNNNNNNNNNNNNNNNNNNNNNNNNNNNNNNNNNNNNNNNNNNNNNNNNNNNNNNNNNNNNNNNNNNNNNNNNNNNNNNNNNNNNNNNNNNNNNNNNNNNNNNNNNNNNNNNNNNNNNNNNNNNNNNNNNNNNNNNNNNNNNNNNNNNNNNNNNNNNNNNNNNNNNNNNNNNNNNNNNNNNNNNNNNNNNNNNNNNNNNNNNNNNNNNNNNNNNNNNNNNNNNNNNNNUUGCCUUAAGAUAAAAUGUUCUUGACAAUAUAGUGUAUGUAUCAAAAAUACGAAUAUUACGGAAUGAUCAUAUGUAAGCUUGAUUAAAUAGUUCAAUCUCGUGUGAAGCACAGGUAAUUUACCUAGUAUAUAUAUAUAUAUAUAUAUAUAUUUGGGGAAGGUGAAUGCAAUGAUAAUAGGUGUAUAAUAAAUGUAUAAUUCAUAUAUCAUGAAUAUACACCAACUAUACACAAUUUAAUGGUUAUUCAUCAAUUAUACAUUGCAUAUUUUUAAAUAUAUAAAUUGAAUUUUACUUCAGUUAUACACACUGCAAAUGCAAUGUAUAAUUAGUAUAUGUAUAUAUAUAUAUUUUAAAAACUAAUAUAUAAUUAGAAACCAAAAGUACUAGUAUAUAAUUAAUAGAUAUUAAUAUUUUUGAUCGAGCGAUCAAAUUUUGUAACUUUGCCUUUAUAUUAUCCUUUUGUUGAUUUCCACCAACCUUUGCAGCCAUAUAUUAUCACAUGAAUUAAUCAGAUAUGAAAACUCAACCAUCAUAAUUUCAACAAAUAUAUUAAGGUGCAAUAAAUAGUGGACCAGUAUGAGAAUAUUACUCUCUCCAUCAUGUUAAAUUAACUCUCUAAUAAUAUCAUAUUAUAAAUGAUAGUAAAAUAAUUAAAGUUUUCUUUUGAUUAAUGUUUUUUUUAACAAACAUGUAAAAGAGAAAUAUGACAGAUAAUUUGUGACGAAUAAAUCAAAUAAUAUUUAAGCCGCUUAUAUAAAAAAACUUUGGUGGUGUCACAAAUGUAAUUUCAAUAAAACAGUAAUUCAUAAUAAAUCGCCAUAAAUAAUUUCAAUCUAAUAAUAUCACGCCAACCCUAUUAAAACUGGUGACAAAUAGUGAUAAAUAGUAUAUAUUUAUCAAUCACCCAAAUAAUUUACUUCCUCCUGUUCUUUUAAAAUGAUUUUAUAAUGUGUCGCACAUUUAUUGAAAAUUUUACUAGUUAAUAUACAAAGUUGUUCACAAUUUAUUAUAGCAACAGUAAGUUCAUAAAAAAUAAAAAUAAUAAUAAAAAAGCUUUCUUGAUAUAUAUAAUAACAAUAAAAAUGACAAUUAUUUUGAACUGUUUUUAAUCGACUAGAAAGUCAUUCAAAAGUGACAUGAGGAAAUAGUUAAAUAUACAGUAAAAAUAUGAAAAAGUGUUUGGUGGGGGUGGGGGGGAUUACACUUAUAUAUGAUUAAUAACGAUUUAUAUAAUCGAUUCUAACUUAAUUUGGACGGAGGAAAAUUAAUGUUGUAAAUAAAUAAAUAAAAAUUGAGAAGAUGUGUUUAACAUGACCUAUUAAUUUCAUGUCAUUAAUUAAUAAAUAAGCCCAUCAUGAUACGUAACUCUUGAAUUUAUAAUGGAUAGCUAUUGAAAAUUAAUAUGAGUGAGGUUUGGAUUUGUUAGAAAAUUUAGUUGGAAGCUUUAAAUACUAUGUUAUAAAUUUUCUUGUGUUUUGUAUGUAUUGUGUAUCUACAGAUUUACCAAGAAAACACACACAAACACACAGUGACAAUUGUUAUAUACACGUAGUCGAAACCAGAAUUUUAACCUUAUAGGUUCUGAAUCAAGUGUUAAUAUCUGAGUUCUAAAUUAAAUAUUAGUACAUAUUUAAUAAAUUAUUAAAAUAAUAAUACUAUUUAAGUGAAAAUUAUUAAAUUCGAUCAAACUCGAAUCUGAACUUCUAGAUCUGCUCCGAUAUAUACACCUUUUUCACUAUUGACCAACUCUCUUUAGCAUGCAAUGAAUGAAUCCUCUCUCCCAACCCCCCUUUAAUUUUCCCAGCACUGUAUGCACUUAAUAGUUUUAAUUGCAAAAUAUUUACUCCAAUUUUCCUUUUUCAGCAAACCAUCUUGGCAUUUUUCCAACCAUUAAUAAAUUUACAACCCCUCAAUUUAAACUAGCAAAUUUUUAUGGUGAGGUGGCAAACUCUUUUAGUUACGGUUUCAACAUAAUUUAAUAUUUUUUGCUAUUUUUUUUUAUACAUAUAAAAUAAUAGCAAACAAAUAUAAUUGUGAUUCAGAACUCAUAAACUAGAAAUUCUGGCUUCAUUUUUAAGUAAGUAUUCCUUAAUUCUUGAUCAAAGACUUCGAAUUUGAGCUUUCACACGUCUUUGGCACGUAACGUCUUUUGCACGUAACGUCUUAAUCAACACUAAAAAUAUAAUUUUUUGAUAUGAAUCUGAAUUAAUAUGAUCUAAAAAUGGAUAUCGGACACUGAACAGGAAAAUGAAAAUAAUUUAUUCAUCUUUCAAUUAAUUCAUUCAAUUGAUUUAUUGUCAACUCCCUCUCUCCCUCUCUUAAUAUCUCUCACUAAAAGUCUUACUUGUUCUCCAACCCCUCUCCCUAUAAUUUAAUUAAGCUUUAAAAGCAAUCUCAUCUCUACCUUCAAUAGUUCCCAUUAUAUAAUAUGGCCUUUUACAAGUCCAAAAAUCAUCAUCUAGGACCACAAAAUAAGUAUAACUAAUUGUUUAUCUUAGUGGUGGUUCCAGUCAUAUCUCCUCCGUACUCCGCCGUAUCGUUCCGACUACAAAAAUCCCUCACUUCCGAUCUCAAGGUAUUAAAAAAAUCUUGUUAUUCUUUUCGAUUCCUCAAUUUUUGAAAUUUUCACAUCGUCAAAUAUUGUUUUACCUGUUAUAACAAGUUACUUAUUAUGUUCUUCAUAUUCCCUAUAAAAAAAGUUAUUUAAAAUUAUAAUUUUAAAUGAUGUGAUAUCAUAUAUAUAUAUACUGUUGUUUUAGUUCAACUCUUUCUUUUGGGGUCUUUGAUUUAAGAAAUUUACAUUAUUAAUGUGAUUUUACUUGUUAUAACAGAUGAAUUAUUAUUUUUUAAGUGAAUGACUUGAUAUCGUAAAAAUUCUUUAUUUGAUUAAUUUUUUAUUUUUUUUUUGGUUUGAUUUUAGAAUGAGCAGGAGAAAUGGAAAUGGUUCAAGGCUUGAUCUAAAAUUGAAUUUGUCACCACCACCAAGAGUGAACCACGUGGCGCCACAAGUGGAGUCGCCGACAAGGUCAUUGACCAUGUCCCCGACGAAUUCAUGUGUGUCAUCUGAUGAUUCGUCGGGGGGUCAACGUGGUUCCAACAGCCCCAAAGCGGUGACUUCGAUGCUGUUGGUUGGUUGUCAAAGGUGUCUUAUGUAUGUUAUGUUAUCGGGAGUUAAUGAUCCACCAAGGUGCCCAAAAUGCAAGAGUACUUGUUUGCUUGAUGUUAUGUAUGAGAAAAAAUAAGAAGUAUUGAGUCGGUCAAGAUCAAAUCCAUCAAAUUCUCAUAUUAUUACUAGUUUAUCAAUAUCGCCGUCCUACCCCCACCUUAAAAAAUAUAUAUAUAUGAAAAACUAAAACCUUUGUAUCGCUUUUUUCAACUUUCUAUAAAUAGCACUAUAUGAGCUCCAUUUUGACUUUUUUAAAAAAUAUGAAAAAAAUGAAAGAAGGGAAAUUUGGAGCUUCUAUAGUGCUAUGUAUUAUUUUAUUUUUAUUUUUAUGGGUUGAUGAAGUUCUAGGUUAAUUAGGUUUGUUUCUAGUCUAGGAAAGUAUGGUGAUCUUGGAAAAUUAAGUAGAAGGGAGUGUUUUAUUAGUGUUGGUUUGUUUAAGGUAUGUUCUUGUUCUAUCUUUAGAAAAAAGACUAUGUAAAAGGGCCAAGUGAAAAAUGGUCAUGUUUUCUUAUGGAAAAAAAAAAAAACUAAUGGUAGUUUUUUCAAGAAAUGAUUUCUUUUGAUGUUGUUUAACUUUAUUUAUGUUAAUAUUUUGAAAUUUUACUUGCGUGCGAAAUUUAUAAUUUUAUAAUAAUGAUUACUUUUCGAUUACAAGAACUGAAAAGAUGCGAAAUUUGAAAGUCUAUAAUAAUAAGUGAUUUUUUAUUAUAAAAGCUGAAAAAGAUGUUUACUUGCGUGCGAAAUUUAUAAUUUCAUAAUAGUGAUUAAUUUUUUAUUACAAGAACCGAAAAAAACUAAUCAUAAAAUAAAAAAUGUUGUGUCACUUUCAAAUUUUCAAUCUUGUUGGUCUAAUUUUCUUCCUUAUGAUAUAUCUAGUCUUAAAACCCCCUUUGGCCCCUUUAUAUAAACCUUGUAGUGGGGCCAAAAUUCUAAAAAUCAAUUGAAAAUAUAUACACCACAAGAAAUUUAUAAUAUUCAUUAUUAAGAAAAAGCUGGAUUUGUUAACGAACAAAUUUUAUAGUAAAAUAGUAAAAUUCAUCACUAAUUUUAUUUAAUGAUAAAUUAACAAUUUUUUGUUACUAACGAAAGAGCGAUAGAUUAACAAUGAAGUUCAUUGAGCAUUGGAAAUCAAAGAUAUCAAUUUCUAAAAGAAUUAAAAAUUUAGGGUUAAGUAAUGUGAGAAGUUCGAUGUAUAUAACAUCAAUGGAAAAGUAACAUGUUGCACAUUAAAGAGUAUUAAAGGGUUGAUAAUAAUUAAUAAUAUAUAUAUAUGACAUUAUUAUUCAAAUUUAUAAUCGUAUAAAUACAACUAAUUAAUGUGAUGGUAACAAUACCUAUAUGCAGAAAUAGGAGGGGCUGGAUUGAUCCUUAUUUUAUUUUUUUAAUAUUAUGAUAUUAUUGCAUAAAAAUCAUAAUAUCUAAAUGCUAAUAACAGUUGAAAUUAAGGGUAUUUUUUUUUUGUCAAAUAAAUGGAAACAAUAAUUGAGACGGUUGAGAUACAGAGGUCAUUGCUUCAUAUGAUUAAAUACAAAUUAAAUGUUUGUGCUAAAUUCAUGAUCAAGUACUGUUAUAAUUUGUUAUUUCCUCCAAUUUAUUUUACUUGUCAUCGUUAUCAAAAAUAGAUUAUUCAAAAUAAUUAUCAUUUAAAAAAAAAUUAAGAUAUUAAAAUAGAAAUAAUUUAAUUAUAUUAUCAAAUCUGUUAAUAUUUUUUAAAGACAUAUUUUUUUUAAAAUGAUGAGUAAAAUAAAUGAGUAUCAAUUUUUUCCCCCUUGAAUUGGGCAUUUAACUCUUCCCUUAAUGUCCCCCCUCAUUUAAUUCUGUUUCUACUCUCUUCCUCAUGACUAAAGCCGUAAACUAACCACGUGGUGCAUCGGAUGAGGUUGUCCUUUCCUUAAUUAGAUGUUUCAUAUUCGAGCUAUGAAUAUAGAAAAAUUCUUCAUAGAGAGCACUCCCCCCUUCCCCCAAAUGGUGCCCUACCCAGUGGAAAUCCAAAAUACUCAAACUCUAAUGCGGAUAUCGAACACUGAGUGAGAAACCAAAAAAAAAAAGGAUGGUAAACUAAUUGUGAUGGGAUAAUAAGUUAGUAUAUCUUUUUGUAUUUAAUUAGAGUUUCUAAGUUAAUUUCUUAAAAUAAAAAUAUCUUACUAAAACGCGUAAAACUUGCUAGCAAAAAUUUUAAUUAAUCAAACUCACAAGCAGAUACAAAAGAUCAUGUGAAAAAAACAAUCCUUGCCUUUCUCUCACAACUUUUUCUAGUGUUGCGAUUCAUUUUCAUAUGCUACAAUUAAACUAUCUUUAACUUUUGAAAGAAACCUGCAUCAAGACUCUACUAAUCAAUGAACACAAACAUACAACUACAAAGAUUUGAGAUUGUAUUAAAUAGAAUCAGACUUCUCAAUAAUAAUAAUAUAAUAAAUAAGUGAUUGUUUUGUUAUAACAAUUUAUAAAUAUGAGAACAAACCACGAUAUUACAGAGAGUUUUAAUUAUAUAUUAGAGCAGAACUCAUAAAUACAGAGAGGUUUAAUUGUCCUUUCUUGAUUUGUCAAAAUGAACAAGUAAAUAGGGACAUCUAAAAGAGGAAAUAAGGACAAGUAAAUAGGGACAGAUGGAGUAUUACCAGAAUUUUUUUUAAUUAAUCGAUCUCGAAAGUAGAUACAGAAGUUCAUAGGGAAAAAACAACUCCCAUCUUUCUCCCACCACUUCUUCUAGAGUUGCAAUUCAUUUUCACAUGCUACAAUUAAACUAUCUUAUCUUUUUUGAAAGAAGCCAUCAAGACUCUACUAAUCAAUAAAUGCAAACACAAUUAACCACAAAAGGUUUUGAAAUUGUAUUAAAAACAUUAUAUAUAACGCAUAAUCAAAUCUUUCAUGCUAUGUCAUUAUUUUAUUAUAACAAUUAAAAAGUAUAAGAACAAACGACGAUAUUACAGAGAUAUUUAAAAAGUAUAAGAACAAAUGGCGAUAUUAUAGAGAGGUUUGAUUAUAUCUCAGUGCAAAGCUCAUAAAUACACAUUAAUGUGAGGCUAAUAUAGUCAAGAUUGGGCCACUGAUAGAGGGAACAUAAAUGCUAGUAUUUUCAAGUUGAUGUAACAAAUUGUAAGCAGAAUAAAUCAUGGGACAGAGAGGAUGAGAUUAGUCAGGUUGUAUUUCUGUUACAUUUGUCCUAUGAUAUGAAUCAAAAGACAAUUGAAUUCAACCAAUCAUGUCACCUUUCAUUCUAAUGCUACCUAGUAACAAACAUAUAUUAUGCUUUCUUACAAUUAUUACCCCUACAUUACUUGUUAUGUUAUGUUUUUGUGUUAAGCUAUAUAAAUUUAGAUUAAUAAUUAAAAAAUUUGUUUAUGUUUGGAUGAGUUAAUAAUUUGAGUCAUUUAGUUCAAUCCACUAUAAAACAGGAUUAAUAUGCAAUUUAGAUUGAAUCACGAAAAAAUUGGUCUAAUUUCUUUUUUAAAAUUGUUUUUUUUAUAUACUAGCUUUCGAACACGUCCGUUGCACGUGUAUCUCUUGCUAAUUAGUAUUAAUAUAUAUAUUUUGAGAUGAUAGAAAUUAAUAAUAUUCAAGUAUGUAUGUGAUCAAAAUUCUUAGAGGAAAAUACAAGUACGAAUAAAUGAAUGAUUAGUUUAUUAGAUUGAUAUUUAUUGUCAUAAAAAAACACUAAGUUCAUAAAAUUGUUUUCAUUAUGAACGUGAGAAUAUCCUUUAUUUUCGAGAGAUGAAAUAUGAAUUUGGGGUUAAAAAGAGUUUCUUUUAGUACCUUCUUUUAAUAUCAUUGGAUCAGAAUAGUGAAUGAGCAGAAACCAAGUUUGAGUGAAACAUGUAUCUCUUGCUAAUUAGUAUUAAUGUUUUAAAACGAUAUAAAUAAUAUUGAAGUAUGUAUGUGAUGAAAAUCCUUAGAGGAAAAUACAAGUACGAAUUAAUAAUUGAUUGUAACACCCUGCUAUUUGAAAGAGCUAGAAUUAGAAAGAACCUUUUUUUUUUGGAAAGAAUGAAAAAUCUGAAAUUUGGCAAAGUUAUGUUAAGUAUGGGUUUGGGGUCACCUUCAAAUGACCAUAACUUCCAGUGCAAGACGACUUAGGUGGGCCAUAAGAUAUCAAAUGAAAGGUCUUUGAAUUAUCUUUCCAACGCCACCGACUUUGCUAAUUUUUGAGCUCGUAUGAGGGAUAUAUGACUGUUCGAAGUUGGUCUGUCUAGAUAAGGAAAGUUAACCGGAUUUUAAAGGGGUAUUUUGGUCUUUUCCGUACCCAAUUAAUUUAUUUCAUUUUUGGUAAUUAAGUAGGGGUCUAAACUGAAUUGGUUCAUUUUAUGCACUCAAAGAUUUCACGCUAGGGUUUCUAGAGAAAGAACUCAAGAGGAGAAAGGAGAAGAAAAGGUCAAGAUUCGUCAAAGUUCUUGCGAUUUGGUUGUGGAUUUUGCCAAUGGUUAAUCCCUACGAGGUAUGUGAGUUCACUUAGUUGGGUUCAUUCACCCACGUGCCAAUAUGUUUAAUUCAGCGUGAAUUCGUCCUAAAAAGUUGAAAGUUUGAAUGUUCUUGAUGUGUGUUCUUGAAUUGCUUUCGUUCUUGAAUUGGGCUGAGAUUAAGGAGUUUUCUUGAGAUUUUAGUGUCGAUUAUUAGAGUUGUUUGAGUUAGAUUCUUGUGUACAUAUUUUAGGUAUGUGAAUCUAAAGAGAAAUUGAGAAAAAUGAUUGAAUUUAAUUGAAUUAAGAUCAGAAAACGAGUUGAAAAAUUCGUCGGGAACACCUGGGAAAGGGCUGGUGCGGUGCGCCCCAGAUGCACCAGAGUGGCUGGGGCGGCGCGCCAGCAGUGCGCCAGAAAACGCUCUCUGAACUUUGGGGCUGGCGCGGCGCGCUAGCUAGGGGUGUACAAGCCAAACCGUAAAGUCAAACCGAAUUGACGAACCGAUUUGUGGUUUGGUUGGUUUGGCAGUUGAAAAAAAAAUACUUUGUUAAUAUAUUUUUAGUUAGUUUAUAGUUUUCAAUGUUUAUAUAUUUUAUUUCAAAUUUGGGCUUGUAAAAAUAGUAAAUAUUUUAUUUUGUAUUAAAAUCCGAAGUUUCAAUUGUAUUGUUAUAGUUUUUCAAAUUCGAAGUUAACAAUUUACUUUGUAAAUAUUUUGUUUUGUAUUCUGUUUGCCUCUAGCCUUUAAUCUUAUUAAUUUAACAUAAUGAACGUUGAUAUUUCCAAAAAAAAUAUUUCUACUCAUGUGAAUUUUACCAUCUUUUCAAAAAUUUCUAUUCAUUUAACAUUUUUUAAGUUUAGCUUAUCACACAGGUAAGUGAAAAAAUAUUUGAUUUUUUUUUCAAAUAUCGUAUAGUUGUAAAAAAUCGAAAAACCAAAAGAACCAACUAAAGUCGAAACCAAAAAAACUAACUUUAUGUGGUUUAAUUUAGUUUUUAGAUUUAAUAAACCGACAUAAUUGGUUUAGGUUUUUUUUUAAUGAAAAAUCAAACCAAACCGACCAUGUACACCCCUAGCGCCAGCAGUGCGCCCGGGUAGUCCGCCCCUACCCGUUUUUCGUAGUUUAGCCCAUUUGAGUCCUUCUAAAGUGUACUAACACUUUCUAUCGAUUAUAACUAUUCUAAAUGACUUCCAAACAUCUAAAAAUCAUUCAGAAACAUGAAUCAUAACCUUGAAUCCAUAAACUCAAAUUCAAGGAAAGUUAAGAGCCAAGUCUAAAAAGUUCAUAGAUUCUUUUCAAGAAGUUUUUUGCAAAUGCUUUAAACUUGUUUUAAGACAUGAGUUUUGAGUUGAGUAAAUAGUAACAAAUGAAGUUCAUUUUCUUCAAAAGAGUAUAUGGGAACUAUGUAUUCCCAAAGAGUAAAUGUUGUCACAUUUAAACAAGAAAGGAAACACCGAUUUCCAAAAGGCCUUUGAGCUAGUUUUCAGUAAAGAGUAAAUGUUUUCACAUUUAAGCAAGAGAGGAAACACUGAUUUCCAAGAGAGACUUUGGGCUAGUUUUUGAGCAAUUAUCUCAAAUCACAGAAAAGUUAUGUUUUUAAAAAUAUGAGCUAGUUAUAUUUUUGGGAGUAGUAUUGAGCAUCGAUUUGGGGACAAGUUAGGUUCAACUAAUUCAUGGUCUCCAUAAACCGUGUAGCCAACAUGGGUAGAAAAUGGUUAUACUUUUUGGAUGAUUCCUUAAUGCUUUUUAGCAUAGACUAGUGGAUCCACUUAGUAGUUAGGUUCUAUACCUCCGGCAAGGUAUAAGACGUCCCUGACAGCGUGAGGCAAGAUGUUGUAUCAUCACAUAGCUCAUAGUGAGGUUAUCGGUUAGAGAAACUUCUACAGUGAUAUUUUGUAUUCUUACAUACACAGAGUUUACUUGUAUUUUCAUAUACAAACAGAGUUUAAAUUGUAUAUUUGCAUACAAACUGAGUUACUAUUGUACCAUUUCAAUAAACAGAGUUUUUAUCCAUGUUUUAAAAGUUUUUCUUUAUAUUGCAUUUAUAUUAUUGCUUUAUAUUGAAAUGAAUUGAGUUGAGUUGAGACCAGGUAUGUUCCUUCAGUUCCUUUCAAGCUUAUGUCUUGUUUUAGAAUUUCCCUCGCAUGCUCGUACAUUCAAUGUACUGUUGCCAUUUGGCCUACAUCUUUUAUGAUACAGAUACAUGUAACCAGGAUCAACAUCCAACGCUUCGUUGAUCCAAUUGAGCUUCAGAUUUUUUGGUGAGCCUCGUUGCUUUUGGUGGAUUCCCCUUUUCAUUACUUUAUCAUUUUAGUUCAUUAGGAUAUCGUGGAUCUUGUCCCGACGUCCAUCUCAGUUAUUAGAGGCUUCAUAGACAAUUAGUGAUGGUUAGUUCACGAGUCUUUUUCAUUUAUUGAUGUUGAGUUGCCAUUUUGUCUAGUUGAAUGUUUCUUUUAAGACAUUCUAAGUUUAUUGUAUGAGUCUAUUUUUUGAGAUUUUUUUCUUGUCAUUUAAGUCUUCCGCUAAGAGUUAAGCCAGGCCAAGGGUUUGCUUGGGGCUAGCAAUGGUUCUCGAGUGCCAGUCCCGCCAAGGGUGUAGGCUCGGGGCAUGACAAUGAAAAACUUAUUGGACUGAUAUUUAUUGUCAUCGCAAAGCACUAACUUCUCAAAAUUAUUUUCAAAUUCUAAACGUGAGAAUAUCCUUCAUUUUCUAGAGAUGAAAUCUGAAUUUGGGUAGGAAAAAAGAUUCUUUUAGUACCUUCUUUUAAUAUCAUUGGAUCAGAAUAGUGAAUAAGCAGAAACCACAUUUGAGUGACACAUGUGUCUCUGUAUAUAUGUGAUAAAAAUUCUUAGAGGAAAAUACAAGUACGAAUUAAUGAAUGAUUAACUUAUUGGACUGAUAUUUAUUGUCAAGCACUAACUUCUAAAAAUUAUUUUCAAAUUAUGAACGUGAGACUAUCCAUUAUUUUCUACAGAUGAAAUCUGAAUUUUGGGAGGGAAAAAGUUUCUUUUAGUGACUUUUUUUAAUAUCAUUGGAUCAGUGAAUAAGCAGAAACCACGUUUGAGUGAACCCAUGAGUAGUUCAAAAAGGAGUAAAUCAAAAUAUUGUAAGGAUAGAAAGUUAAUAAAGAGCAAAAUAUGUUUUUUUUAUAUAUAUUUUUAUGUUAUGAUUAAACAAAAGAAUUUGGAAAUAAAAUUGCUUAUGUUUUAACCAAUCCAUAAAUUAUGUAAAGAAUACAUUUGGGAAAAGAAAUUAUUAGCAUUCUCUUGAAAAAUAUACCGAAAAUUGGAGACAAGACAAACUUAACAACUUUUGAAUACAUGAAAUCGAAUACAUGAAGUCAAAUACACCUCAACAUCUUCACAAUGCUAAACUUUGUAACAAUGCUUGCAACCUAGUGUGCUUAGAGAUUAUGAUUGGUACAAUUUGUUCACCAAACAUUACUUGUGUGAUAUCUUAUUUUUCGUUAAAAUUCAAACUUGCUCAAUAACUGCAAAUAACGCUUGAGGUUUACUAGGAAGAAGAAGGAGCGUAGAAAAUUUAUAGUUUAAAAAUUAGAGGAAACCUCUCUACUUAUAACCAUCAAAUGGCAGUAUGAACAACUGCUUAUUAGAAAAGUCACAACAUUCAGAAAAAUGACAACUAUUUGGGAAAGUCAUAACCCUUCGGAAAAGUCACAACCCUUCAGAAAAGUCACUAUAGACCGGAAAAGGCACAAUCCUUCGAAAACUUAUCAGAAAACUCACAACCCUUCAAUGUUAAAAGGUGUUUGCUUUUAAUAUAAAUAAAGAAAUAUGAAUAUAAAAUAGAAGAUAUACUAAUUGAGUAUUGAGUGGUUUUAGUUGCGGGUAUUAUAGUAAUUUAACAUUCAAGUUAGAAAGUUAAGAUGAUAUAGAUAGAUAAGGAAAUUUUUUUGUUAGAUAUUCAAACAAAUUAUAAGAAAAUGAAAUUCAAAUUUUAAAUUUAAUAAGAAUUGAGCGGGUAUAAUUCAAUUUUUAGUUCACUGCAGUCCAGCCCACUUUAGCCCAAAUAACAUUUAGUCGGACCAAUAAUGUGUUCAUUUAUUAACGGGCUUCUUACGUAAUUGUACAAGUGAUAAGAACAUUUUAACAACUAUAACUGUAUGUAUAUUAUUUAAUAUAUAUAAUGUAUAAAUAGUUAUGUAAUGUGUCGAUAUUGUAUAAAAAUGUUUAGUUGUGUAUCUACUUAUCAAAGAUGUGUAUUUAUAUAAAACAUUUUUAUACUAUAUUUAUAUAGCAAAAGUUCAUCUUCCUCAACGAAGUAAAUUCUUUUUUCAAUUAUAACUAAUUCAAAUCUCUUCUAAACAAUUCCAAUUUUUAGUUAUGAGCUUCUUUCGACGUUUCAAUCUUUUUGUUCUUUUAUUCAUUUAAAACGAUUCACAUAAAUUUACGGCAUGUCAAAUUUUAAAAUUUGAUCUACAAAAUUCUUCAACAAUGGAUUUCAAUGCAUAACAACUCAAAUCUUCCUCUAAACAACUCAAAUUUUAGAAAGUAUCUCAUCUCAGUAUUUCGAUUCCUUUGAUAUAUUAUUCACUCAAAAUGAUUUACGUUUAUAACAAGUAAAAUUUUUAAAAUGGUUCACAUUUUCCUUCUUGUAUUCAUCAAUGGCAGAUGACGAUAAAAGUGAAAUUUAUAAUCUUUAGUUGAAAGUUAUGCUUUAAAUUCAAAAGCAAAGGAAGGUUGACCAAAAUUCAACAAUUUAAUUAUCACAAAAAAGAAAAAAAAAGAAAUAUUUAUGUCUUCCCUUGAAGUUAAAGUCUUGAAUUUCAAAUACACGACUGAGAUAACAUACACAAAUAGAAUACUAUCAUUAAAAUACAUUUCUUUUAUAAGAAGAAAAAAGUGAUAAUUAAGCUAUUUUAGGUAAAAAAAAUUAUUUCUCAAAUUCAACUCGAUCCUCUUAUUCGACAACACUCAUAGUGAUGGUCAUAACCCUUUUGAAUGGAUCAUGACAUGAUGACACAUAUUCAAAUUCAAGAUGAAUAGCAUAUUCUUCUGAGAUAAUAUAUACGUACACUUCAAAUAAGAAUAUAGGAGUAAAAAUAUACCUAUAAAAUUUAGAAUUCAUUUGAUAAAGCGUAUAAAAAUUACUAAAUAAGAUGUAUUAAUAAUACUGAUGAUUUAGUGCUUUUUAAAAAAAAUUCUUUAUAAAAUAUGAUUGAAAGAAUGUGAAAAAUACAUUGAAGAUCAAUUGUAUCUUUAAUUAUGAAAAAUGCAUGAAAUAUUUUCUCUACAUUUUCAAGUAAUUAUACAUCUACCCUAAUUUUUUGUUCUCCUUCUAUUUAUUUUUAUAAAAAAAUUCCUUUAUUUGGAAAGUUUUUUGAGAAAUUUUCAUUUUUAUUUUCCUACCAAUUAUAAUUUCACCUCUUUAUUCCUUUUUUUUCUUUCUUUUUUGGCCCUUUAUUGCGUUUUUUCUCCAUUAGAUUCUGCCUCUUCUCUUGACUUUACCUCUGCUGCCUCUUCUUUUUUUUCAUCCAUCUUCUGCUUCUUCUCCUUUUUCCUAAUCGAUCUCUGCACGAAUCCCAAGAAAUCCUUUUUUUUUUUUUUUGAAAUAGUCAGCUAUGACUCUUGGUUCAGGAGGAUCUAGUGUUGUGGGUGAGUCAAUUUUUACAUCCCCAAAUCUCUUGUUGUUCUGCUAUGAGUUUUGUUGUGUCAAAUCUGAUCAUGGGUUGUUUAAAUUUCACAUCUUUAUUGCAUGGUUUAUGUUUAUAUGAGUGUUAUUCUUGUUAUCAAAGAUUACAACUUUGAAAUCUUGUUUUUUUAUUAUGUGGGGUUUUCUAUUUUUCGGACUUUUUUGAUUGAUGUGUAGUGAAUUCAGUAAUUGUAGUGAGUGGAUUGAAAUAUGUAGUAGAUUUAGGAUUUAAGUAAGGAUAUCUGCAAAGGGGUGUAACAAUAAAGUUGUUGUCAUGUGAUCAAGAGGAGUUGUGGACACAGCCUCUUGCAGUAAUGCAAGGUAAGGCUGCGUAUGAUAGACCCUUGUGGUCGGGCUGGCCUCAAGCAAGGACAGCGGGGAAGGGGAGCUUUGGUGUAACUGGUAAAGUUGUUGUCACGUGAUCAAGAGGUCACAUGUUUGAGUUGUGGACACAGCCUCUUGCAGUAAUGCAGGGUAAGGCCGCGUAUGAUAGACCCUUGUGGUUGGGAGGGCCUUAAGUAAGGACAACUGCGUCUUCUUCUUUAUGUGAUGUUUCUUUUCUGUUUGUGUUUAUAUAUGUAUAAACAGGUUGAGCUAAAGGCAGUGUGUUUUGAGUUUGUUGUUGCUAGCUUUUAUGUUCACUGGCAAUUAACAUGAAAGUUGUCAUCAAUUGAGCUUUAUUUUGCGUGAGGUAUUGGUUAAAGUUGGUCUUUUUCCUGCUUCGAUAGCUCUAUUUUGGUGUGUUUGUACAUCUUUGAUACUUGAAUGGAUGUUAUUGUAAAUAGUGGUCUUACACUCAUCAUAGAUUUCCAGAUCCUACAAUGUUCAAUUUUGAAUUGGCCUUAGGACAAUGAUAGGGGAUUAUAUUUGUGUCGAUAUCUUCUAGUCAGUUUUUCCCGGUCAGUGUUAAAAAAAAUUUAUUGUAAAAAUAUGAAGCUAAACUUAAUGAGUUUAUACAUGAUCUGUCAUAUAGAGUAUUUGAAUUAUUUAUGUGCUUGCAUCAUAAACAAGUCGAUGUCUGAUUGGUAUUGAGGAUAUUUUAUUUGCUCCUCCUUUAGAGCAGCACUUAAGUUCCCCCUCCCCAAUGUGAGGGAGUGCGAGGGUUGAGGACAUUCAUAUCUGUUGUGCAUGUUAUCUUUGCCAGAGCUUAACAUGGUAAUGAUUCUACGUAGACUGUUCUGUCCUGUUUCCUACCAAUUAGUCGCUUUGUUUUAGUUGUAGCUGAUACAGUUUCAGUUUGUUAUGUUGCAUCAGCCAAAUCGUGGAUUUUGAUUGCUAUUUAGGAAAAUGAGGAAGUCCACUGUGUAAACAACUACACAUAAUUGUUGACCUGAUUUCUUUAUAAAUAAAAAAUUCUCUGGCUGUUCUUCCAUGCUGAUGAUUGUUGGAUGUACUAUCAUUAGAGCUCAUAAACUAUUGAAACGAAGUUUCAGCUCAACACCUAAAAUCCGUCUGGAUUUUUAUGCUUUACACUUAACUUGAGAGUAAAAGUCUGAUAAUAUAUUUAUUGAUUCUUUUGGCAUGAUAAUAGUUUUAACAAGGGGUUUGCAUAUUUGAGCCCCACCAUCCCAAGUUGCUUUUUUAUGUUCUUCAAUCAAUUUCACAACAAGGAUACGUCUAUGUCAGAAAGGAAGUGAGCAAAGAAAAUAAACUAAUGUUUUUUACGUUCCUUAGAGGGGGCAAAGCUAAGGACAGGUCUUUGCGGUGAUAUCGCACCAAGACAUUGUCACUUUACAUAAAUCAGAAAGUUUGGAGAUAAGCCUCCCAAAAAUCCAGCAACUAUUAUACAAAGUGGAAUAUUUUCUUCACAUAAAAAAUUACAAAUUGAACAGAAGAGAGCUUUAACUCUCCAUAGUAGACUUUCAGCUCCUUCAGAAGUUCUGUUAAUCCUUUAUUAUCAUAAACAACAAAGUUGAGUUGAUCUCUUUCUUCUUUUUGUUCAUUUUCUAUGUCCAACUUGUGGUAGCUUCUAUCACUGUAUUUGGAGGGUCCUAAGUUGUAUCAACAACAACAAACCCAGUGUAGGGGAGGGUGGUGUAUAUGCAGACUUAUCCUUAACUUGUGAUGGUAGAGAGGUUGUUCCCAAUAGACCGCCGACUCAAGUGAAGUAUAUAAAACAACGAGUAUGUAAAGAAGAUAUAAAGAAGAAGAGAACAAUAGCAACAACAAAUAAUAUGGUAACUGAAGAAAACAAAACAAUAGGUCAUACUAAAUUCAAAGAAUAAGAUAGUAGGAGAGUAAUACUAACAAAACUGAAAAGGGAAUUAGACACGCUCGACUACCUACUAACCUUCUACCCUAGAGACUUUUAUGUCUUCUAUCCAGGGUCAUGUCCUUGGUAAGCUUUAAAUGUGUCAUGUACUGUCUAAUCACCUCCCCCGAAGAUUUAUUCUGUCUACCUCUACCUCUCCUUAUACCUACUAUAGUCAACUCUCACACCUCCUCACUGGGGCAGCAAUGCAUCUUCUCCUCACAUGCCCGAACCAUCAUAGCAUUGCCUCCCUUAUCUUGUGCCAAUUUUUGACCGGCCAACACUCCACCCCAUACAACAUAGUGGUUUGACCAUCACCUUAUACCUUAAGGCAUGGUGACACAUUCUUAUCUUACAAGAAUGUGGUGAUAAGAAUAUACCAAGGACUAUAACUCUAUUGCAGAAUGACAUUGCAAUGUUCUUGUGGGCACCAUCAGAACUUCAUGCAGAUUUGGUUCUUCUUUUGUAUUCAUGCAUGGAAAACUGUUGAAACUGUCUCACCUCUCUUACUUCCUCCACAAAGAAAGAAAGCGUCUUCUCGAGUUCUCCGUUCUUUCACCAUUUUCCUGUCUUAUCCCUUGUGAACAAACAUUUUGCUAAAAUGUUAGAUAUAUGUUUUUUGUACUGUCAUUUAUCCCUUCACAUCUACUUGGGGGUUGGAACCAUCUGCAACGUUAUGGAUUCUUGGUUUACCUUUUGUGAAUCUUCACUUACCAAAAUUUUAAUUCUUUGCAGUCCCUCGGAAUUUCAGAUUACUUGAGGAACUUGAACGCGGUGAAAAGGGUAUUGGAGAUGGGACUGUAAGCUAUGGGAUGGAUGAUGGAGAUGAUAUCUAUAUGCGGUCCUGGACUGGCACCAUUAUUGGUCCUCACAAUGUUAGAGCAUUCUUUUCUCAUUCCUAGUUCCAGCCAUCUCUAAGUUCGAUUUUAAUAUGGCUUUGUUGUAGGCAAAUGAAAUCUUUAAUAUAUUUUCUAUUAGUUAUUUGAAUAAUUCCCCAGGACUAUUCAAUUGCUUGUUUACUAUGACUUUAACUUCUUUUCCAUCCUUAUUAUUGUAUUCUUAUUUCUUUAAUUAUUAAAGGCUAAUUUUCCAUGUUUCCAGUCCGUUCAUGAAGGUCGCAUUUAUCAGUUGAAGUUAUUCUGUGAUAAAGAUUAUCCAGAGAAGCCACCAAGUGUCCGCUUCCAUUCUCGAGUUAACAUGACGUGUGUCAACCAUGAGACAGGAGUGGUAAGCAAUCUAUUAUUGUAUUGGUAUUUGGUAGAAUGGAAUGCCAUUUUUGUCAUGGAGAAAAUUUAUGUGACACUGCGUUAUCACAAUGGUACCUGGAAAUCCAAAAUAUUAUGUCGAUAAUAUGAUUUUGGCUUGCUAUUGUGGAAUUUAGAACUUGCAUAGUAAUUUGCUAUUGUAGAAUUUAGAACUUGCGUGGUAAUUCCUUCUUGUAACAUUACAUGUAUAAGAAAUCAUAGAAGAUAGGAAGUAUCGAUUAAAUGUAUUAUGCUCUGGGAUAAAGAUAUUUGUCUAGGGGUUGCUGAGACGCACAAAAAUUGAUCAUGAAAAAUAUUACUAGUAGAAUUGUGAUUACAUUUCUUGUGUUGAUUUACUUUUGAUGUCCAAAUUAAUUCUCUGUUAUAUUUCCCAAAAUUUUCAUUGCUUGGCUCAAGCAUCCUUGUCAAUUCACGUUUAGUCGCUAUAAAUGCAAUAUGAUAUUUUCAAGUUUGGCUUUCGAUCUUGACAACAUUCUGGACUUCUGUUUUGUAUUUGCUCCCGCUUGUCCUGUUGCUUAAUAAAUUGAUGAACCAACUGUGUGUUGUUGAUACAGGUGGAACCAAAAAAGUUUACUUUACUUUCAAAUUGGCAGCGAGAGUACACCAUGGAAGACAUACUGGUUCAGCUGAAAAAGGAGAUGGCUUCUCCUCACAAUCGCAAGCUAGUUCAGCCCCCGGAAGGCACCUAUUUCUAGCGCAAAUCCAAACUUGUGCUGCUGUGUCAUGACAUUGGAAGUUUAAAAAUUUACUACGGGGAGUGCCGCCUUUAAGGGCUUCUUGAUCACUUUUGCUUUCAUCCUUUAUGAACUUUGCCACAGUGUGCUGUUUGAUUAAUGUGUGUCAAAUAUUAUGAGUAAUAGGUUCUUGUGCUGUCUGAAUCUUUUUUUCUCCUCCUACGCCCUUUUCGCUUUGUAUUUUAUUAACUUAAUUUUGUCUUAUAUCCUUCACUAUUUUACUAAAAAUGGAA